CUGGGACGACUCUGCGGAGCCGGGCAGAGGUUUUAGGGGUGCGCGGAACUCAAGUGGUGGUUCAGUGGGGGCGGUGAGGUGGAGGACUACCUGGUCGGAUAGCCGCGGGCACAAACCUGGGAACCAGAGGGUGGAGGCCGUGCUGGGGACUGAUGUACGGCGGGACCAACUGGAAGCGGCAUCCAGAGGCCCAGUGAGCCUCGGUCUCAGCUCCUGAAGGGGUUGCAUGGGGCCCUACGCUUCCUUCUCCAUUUUUUAGCUAAGAGAUUGAGAGAGUCUGUUUACUUUUGGGCCGGGAGUAUCAUUUAGAUCGGUUAACAGUACAGUUGAGAGAGUUGGUGUCUUUUGUUGAGGUGCGAGGACCCUAGGCGGCGACCCUCGCCUUUAUUCGGGGAAGCCCACUUCCACCCACAGAGUUGGGGUAGUCCUCCGAAAUGCAUUUUUGUUUUACCGUUUGUUUUCCAACCCCCCUUCACUCUCCCCAAGGCUUCAGAUUCACUGAUUUUUCAUACAGGAAUGAUUAACAAAGGCGUCCGAAGAAAUCGUUGUUGGGAGGUGGCCAAGCUGGAAAGAAACGUUGCUUUGGCCCUGCAAGUAAGAAGAGAGAAGGAACAGCCUGAAGGAGUAACACUAAAUUUAAAAUGACACUUUUUUACCAACCAACGAAAGCAGAUGUUCAAAGGGGAUAUUGGCCAGAGUCUGUCACACUAAGAUGAGAAAUGUCGUUUCUUCCUGAAGGUGUCUGAUGUGUAAAAAUACUGAUAUACUUUGUGCUGUUUCCUCCCUUCCCUUUUGCACAUUAUUCUGAAACAAAAUUAACUAGUUAUUUUGCGUCAUUGAAGGUAUGCACUUCCCCUCUAUGUUAGGAGCGAAUAAAAUUAAAAAUAGAUCCUCAUAGCAAAGAAAGGCUAGAUAGAAUGAUUAAAAAUGACCAAAACAUGUUAGAAACAGUCUCUCAGAUGUAUGCAGAUGGUAAUUACAAAAACACUUUUUCGAAAAAUGAUCUUAUGUGUCAUGUUUCUGGGAACAAGUCAAGAUCAAUGAGUUUGAUUUUUAAGCAGAAGUAGUAUGUGUUGGUGUCAUCCAUGAAUACAACAAUGAAAAAGGCUCAAAGUUUUUGUUAUUCAGAAACUUCUCUAAGUAAUGGUGGUAAGUACAGGAAAAGGAACAAUGUCUACCAUUUUCUUUCUAACCUUCGAUUUAACUAUUGUAAUGUUGUAAGCUUAACAGAGAUUUACACUUAGGCUUAAUUUCAAGCUCUUCAAUUAUUUUUCACAGUUGGUGAUUCAGGUGUAUUCUCAUGUCUUAUGUAAACUUAUCAUGAGUCUUGUUCAUUUUAUAAUAUAUUUCUUUAUGUAAGCCA